CUUGGCUAGUGGUUGUAAAGCACUUUCAGGACACAAGAUGUAAAGGCACCUGUCAUUCUUUGGUCUACUAUUUUAUUUCUGGGGAAAGGGGUCAGGAGUGCUAAAGAAGAUGCACAUUUAACAUGGGGAGACGGAAAGCCUGUCUAUCACUCUGAUGUGCUCCCACUGUCCAACUGUACUGAUGAGCCUGGAAGUGCAUCCGACCCACUGUUCCUCAGCUGAGGACUCACUCAUUGUGACACAGGACUGUACGUGUGCAUUUGGGGGGAGAAAUGGAUCCCAGACUGGAGUGGCUGUCCUUGGUCAGUGAGGACCCAGUGUUCAGAAGUGCAUCUAUGUGAGUUCACCUUCCAUUCAGGGAAGAAGACACCUGGCUUGCUCUACCAUCUGAGCACUUGCUCUGGCUGGCCACCUCACCGGCUGCUGUUCUUCACUGCCCGGCCACCCUGCCAGCCACUGUUUCUCGCCACCUGGCCACCCUGAUGACUGCUCGCCAACUGAUCGCUACUUUCAUUGGCCACCCGUGCUUACGGUGCCCAUCACCCAAGUAUCAGAGUGACUCCCGAAAUAGAAUUACCGUGCAACAAGGUCCAGCAAGUUGACUGUAUCGCUCCCUCCUCCUCCUUUCUAAGCUCCCCAUAGAGCUUUGCAAAAAAUCAUGCAUGGAGCUUGCAGUCUGACCCAGCUGCCAUCGUAUUGGUGAGUGGCAUAACUGCCCUAGUCCCAAACCCAAUACUCUCCACACAUUGAAGGGAAAAGUGCCAUGGCUGCACCACUCCUUCCAGCUCCAGAAAAAGGACACUAGGACAACCAUCUCCAAGAAGAAGCACUGUAUGUGAAGAUAAAUGGAAGAGAAAAGCAGUGUGUUCGCCUUCUCCAUGUAAACAUGAAGCUGCAGUUGAAUUACAUGACCUACCCAUCUCUGCUUUGCGUUGUACAUCGCCUGCACUACAUCUGUCACCUCUUUACGCCUUCUGAUUUCCUCAUUGCCACACGUCUGCGGUGGAGUUAAAUCACCUGAAUGUGGUGAUUCCUAAUACAGGAAUAUAGGAGACGCCAGACUGAAUCAGAUCCAAAGUCCCUCUACCCCAUUGUCCUGUGUCUCUCAAUGUCCAGCACCAGAUGCCUCAAAUGAAGAUUCACGAAACUUCACAGCUUGCAAAUGUGAGAAAAUUUGCCCCCCAAGAAGAGCUGAUCCUAAUACCUGAUAACUAGAGAUUUAUUUAAAUCUGGUAGUAUGAGGUUUUACCCUGUUCCAAUAGUAUUUUUAUUAGCAUUAAUUAUUAUGGCUCUGGAUAGUCUUGUUAUCUAUAUAUUGGUUCGAUCCCUGCUUCAAUCGUACUAUAUUCUUGGCCUAAAAGACAUUCUAUGGCAGUGAAUUCCACAGUCUAAUUAUAUACAUUGUGUGGAAAAGGAUUGCCUUUUAAUUUUUGAAUUUGCCACCUCUUAACUUCAUUGAC